CGCGGAGAAUAAUGAUCCUCCGCUAAUUUAACACGUGAAAAGGUAACUGCUUUACCGGGGAUGGCUUCUAACUGUUUUGAUCCGCUUAUGUUUAAAGCGAUAAAAGGAAUAAGUUACCGCAGGGAUAACAGCGUAAUUCUUUUGGAGAGUCCGUAUUGAUAAAAGAGUUUGCGACCUCGAUGUUGGAUCGGGAUAUCCUAAAAGUGCAGCAGCUUUUGAGGGUUGGUCUGUUCGACCAUUAAAAUCCUACGUGAUCUGAGUUCAGACCGGCGUAAGCCAGGUCAGUUUCUAUCUUCGAUUCCAUUAAAAGUUUUGUUCUUUUCAGUACGAAAGGAUCGAAGGAGCGAUACCAAUGCUUCAAAGUAAGUAUUAGAGUUAUAA
rnacentral:rRNA from 1 species